UACGAUUAACCCAAAUCAAUAACCUUCGGCGUAAAGAGUGUUUAGGACAUUAUACACAAAUAAAGUCAAAUUGCUACUAAGCCGUAAAAAGCACCAGUAUAAACAAGAUCAACAACGAAAGUGACUUUAGCACAUCCGAACACACGACAGCUAGGGCCCAAACUGGGAUUAGAUACCCCACUAUGCCUAGUCGUAAACACAAAUAUUCCAACAACAAGAAUAUUCGCCAGAGUACUACUAGCAACAGCUAAAAACUCAAAGGACUUGGCGGUGCUUCAUAUCCACCUAGAGGAGCCUGUUCUAUAAUCGAUAAACCCCGAUAAACCUCACCACCUCUUGCUAAUACAGCCUAUAUACCGCCAUCUCUAGCAAACCCUAAAAAGGAGCCACAGUAAGCACAACUAUAGCCAUAAAAACGUUAGGUCAAGGUGUAGCCAAUGAGGUGGGAAGAAAUGGGCUACAUUCCCUAAUUAUAGAGAACACGAAGGUCUUUGUGAAAGCGAAGUCUGAAGGAGGAUUUAGCAGUAAGUCAAAAAUAGAGUGCUUGACUGAACAAGGCCAUGAAACACGC
rnacentral:rRNA from 1 species